GAUGAAGAACGCAGCGAAAUGCGAUACGUAAUGUGAAUUGCAGAAUUCAGUGAAUCAUCGAAUCUUUGAACGCACCUUGCGCCCUUUGGCCAUUCCGAAGGGCAUGCCUGUUUGAGUAUCAUGAACACCUCAACUCUCAUGGCUUGCCAUGAUGAGCUUGGACUUUGGGGGUCUUGCUGGCCUGUGGUCGGCUCCUCUCAAAUGAAUCAGCUUGCCAGUGUUUGGUGGCAUCACAAGUGUGAUAACUAUCUGCGCUCGUGGUUUCCAUCAGAUAACCUCCAGUGAUGGAGGUUCGCUGGAGCUCAUAAAUGUCUCUCCUAAGCGAGGACAGCUCUUUUAAUGUUUGAUCUCAAAUCAGGUAGGACUACCCGCUGAACUUAAGCAUAUCAAUAAGCGGAGGA
rnacentral:misc_RNA from 1 species